AGAGUUUGAUCCUGGCUCAGGACGAACGCUGGCGGCACGCUUAACACAUGCAAGUCGAACGAGAGAAGAGGAGCUUGCUUUUCUGAUCUAGUGGCGGACGGGUGAGUAACACGUGAGCAAUCUGCCUUUCAGAGGGGGAUACCGAUUGGAAACGAUCGUUAAUACCGCAUAACAUAAUUGAACCGCAUGAUUUGAUUAUCAAAGAUUUAUCGCUGGAAGAUGAGCUCGCGUCUGAUUAGCUAGUUGGUAAGGUAACGGCUUACCAAGGCGACGAUCAGUAGCCGGACUGAGAGGUUGAUCGGCCACAUUGGGACUGAGACACGGCCCAGACUCCUACGGGAGGCAGCAGUGGGGAAUAUUGCACAAUGGAGGAAACUCUGAUGCAGCGAUGCCGCGUGAGGGAAGAAGGUUUUAGGAUUGUAAACCUCUGUCUUCAGGGACGAAAAAAGACGGUACCUGAGGAGGAAGCUCCGGCUAACUACGUGCCAGCAGCCGCGGUAAUACGUAGGGAGCGAGCGUUGUCCGGAAUUACUGGGUGUAAAGGGAGCGUAGGCGGGAUCGCAAGUCAGAUGUGAAAACUAUGGGCUUAACCCAUAAACUGCAUUUGAAACUGUGGUUCUUGAGUGAAGUAGAGGUAAGCGGAAUUCCUAGUGUAGCGGUGAAAUGCGUAGAUAUUAGGAGGAACAUCAGUGGCGAAGGCGGCUUACUGGGCUUUAACUGACGCUGAGGCUCGAAAGCGUGGGGAGCAAACAGGAUUAGAUACCCUGGUAGUCCACGCCGUAAACGAUGAUUACUAGGUGUGGGGGGACUGACCCCUUCCGUGCCGCAGCAAACGCAAUAAGUAAUCCACCUGGGGAGUACGACCGCAAGGUUGAAACUCAAAGGAAUUGACGGGGGCCCGCACAAGCAGUGGAGUAUGUGGAUUAAUUCGAAGCAACGCGAAGAACCUUACCAGGUCUUGACAUCGUAUGCAUAGCUCAGAGAUGAGUGAAAUCUCUUCGGAGACAUAUAGACAGGUGGUGCAUGGUUGUCGUCAGCUCGUGUCGUGAGAUGUUGGGUUAAGUCCCGCAACGAGCGCAACCCUUACUGUUAGUUGCUACGCAAGAGCACUCUAGCAGGACUGCCGUUGACAAAACGGAGGAAGGUGGGGAUGACGUCAAAUCAUCAUGCCCCUUAUGACCUGGGCCUCACACGUACUACAAUGGCUGUCAACAGAGGGAAGCAAAGCCGCGAGGUGGAGCGAACCCCUAAAAGCAGUCUUAGUUCGGAUUGUAGGCUGCAACCCGCCUACAUGAAGUCGGAAUUGCUAGUAAUCGCAGAUCAGCAUGCUGCGGUGAAUACGUUCCCGGGCCUUGUACACACCGCCCGUCACGCCAUGGGAGUCGGUAACACCCGAAGCCUGUAGUCUAACCGCAAGGAGGACGCAGUCGAAGGUGGGAUUGAUGACUGGGGUGAAGUCGUAACAAGGUA
rnacentral:rRNA from 1 species